AGAGUUUGAUCAUGGCUCAGAUUGAACGCUGGCGGUAUGCUUAACACAUGCAAGUCGAACGGUAACAUGGGAGCUUGCUCCCGAUGACGAGUGGCGGACGGGUGAGUAACGCGUAGGAAUCUGCCUAGUAGUGGGGGACAACUUGGGGAAACUCAAGCUAAUACCGCAUACGCCCUACGGGGGAAAGCGGGGGAUCUUCGGACCUCGCGCUAUUAGAUGAGCCUGCGUUAGAUUAGCUAGUUGGUGGGGUAAAGGCCUACCAAGGCGACGAUCUAUAGCUGGUCUGAGAGGACGAUCAGCCACACUGGGACUGAGACACGGCCCAGACUCCUACGGGAGGCAGCAGUGGGGAAUAUUGGACAAUGGGCGAAAGCCUGAUCCAGCAAUACCGCGUGUGUGAAGAAGGCCUGAGGGUUGUAAAGCACUUUCAAUUGGGAGGAAAAAGAGUGGGCCAAUACCCUGCUCCUUGACAUUACCUUUAGAAGAAGCACCGGCUAACUCCGUGCCAGCAGCCGCGGUAAUACGGAGGGUGCGAGCGUUAAUCGGAAUUACUGGGCGUAAAGCGUGCGUAGGCGGUUAUUUAAGUCAGAUGUGAAAGCCCCGGGCUUAACCUGGGAAUUGCAUUUGAUACUGGGUGACUAGAGUUUAAUAGAGGAGAGUGGAAUUUCAGGUGUAGCGGUGAAAUGCGUAGAGAUCUGAAGGAACACCAGUGGCGAAGGCGGCUCUCUGGAUUAAAACUGACGCUGAGGUACGAAAGCGUGGGUAGCAAACAGGAUUAGAUACCCUGGUAGUCCACGCCGUAAACGAUGUCAACUAGCCGUUGGGUUUAUUAAUGAACUUAGUGGUGCAGCUAACGCAUUAAGUUGACCGCCUGGGGAGUACGGCCGCAAGGUUAAAACUCAAAGGAAUUGACGG
rnacentral:rRNA from 1 species